AGUUGCUCCUGGUUUACCAAAUCGCCCAAGAGCAGAUGUUGUUGUCCUAACUUCUCUGCUAAACAGAUUGCGGAGAUUUUGGGUGUCUCAAGAAGAACAGUGAACCGACGGUUACGAUAGUACAAAUUUCUCUUUUAGAGGUCGCUACACGGAUCUAACAGAUGAUGCUCUUGAUCUGAAGGUGCUGCUAUUCGGAGUAUGUCCCACAGGCUUCGGAGGAGAACAUAUCGAGUGGCAGAGUCAAUUUCGCUGUGGCAUCUUGAUGGCAACCACAAGCUCAUAAAGUGGAGGAUUGUAAUCCAUGGAGGAAUCGAUGGGUUCAGCCGACUGGUGGUUUUCCUGAAGGCUUCUAACAACAACAGAAGUGACAUUGUAAUGGACCUGUUUUCGGAAGCAGUCGCCCAGUUUGGUGUCCCAUCCAGAGUCAGAUUUGACUAGGGAAGGAAAACAACGCCAUUUGUCUCUUCAUGGAUGUCUUCCGAGGAUCAACCCGAGGGAGUGCUUUAAGAGGGAUGAGCACUCAUAAUCAACGCAUUGAAAGACUGUGGGGCGAUGUCUGGAGAGGUGUGACAAAAAAAACGCAAGGUCCUACGUAGUGUGGUCAGGUCUGCUGAGUUUAUCAUCGGCAGGCCACCACUAGCCACUUUACAUUGAUGCAUUUCUCACUCGUCACUUUACACACUGUCACUUUCAGCUACUGGUUGCACUAUCAACAAUAUUGCACUUACUGUACCCCACUUGUCUUAGGUUAGUAUAGGUCUAAGGUUAGUAUAGGUCAUUAUCUGUAUUAGAGGUCUAAUAUAUUGUAUACUAUUUUGUAUAUUUAGGAGGUUUAUAGGUGGCUCAAAAA